rnacentral:lncRNA from 1 species
UCAUCUAAAGGGCCAUAUCAAAUAAGAGGAGGCACAGAUCAUGUGAGGAGGUGUAUCAAAUGAUAUGUCCUUUCAUGUGGUGUCAUAUUUUGACCAAGUCAACAUCACAUGCCAAUCACAUGUCCAUUAUGCCUCACCUCUUGAUCUUUCAUGAUAAUGAUCCAAGGGCUCCAAUGCAAGGCGCCAUUCAUUUGACCCAUUAUGUCUUCAUCCAAUGGUGGGAUGAAGAUCCAAUGGUCAAAGGUGAUAGCCCUUGUCUAACCCAAUCUAAUCGAGUUUGAAUCAACUCACCAUUAUAUCUUCAUCCAACGGUAGAUGAAGAUCUAACGGUCAAAAAUGAAUGAUUUAUCAAAUCUAAUCCAAUUAAAAUCAAACCAAGCCAAUUAGGUGUCAACUCUUGGCUAACCCUUAUUAGGAUAUGAUCUAAUCAAAUUAGAUCAAUUAAGAAUCAGAUUCGAAUCCAAUUCGAAUUUAAUUCGAAUCAAGAGCUAAGGUUUGCAACACCUGCUAGGAUGUUUAUCUUGCAAACAUGAUUUAAUCCAAUUAGACCCUUGACCAGUUUUCUUGUGUGUGACCCAUUGGGUUCUAUACUUAGCCAGCAGUAAGUGUGGAUUUAAGUUGACCUAACCUGAUUAGAAUUCUUCUAAUCGAUUUAGGUCCAAACUGCGCAAACUAGAACUUAACAAUUAGAAUCCUUUCUAAUUGGCGAUCGAAUUAAACUCUUUAAUUCGAUCAAACCUACAAGACUAGAUUGACGUCUAGCAACGUGUCAUGUCUACCUGAAAAAUAUGGAAUUUGGUAAAAAUUCCAAAAAUACCCUUCAGUGGCAAGUUACCGUGCAAUUCAAUCCUUCAAUCAAACUGCAUUCCGAAUAUGUAUAUGAGUAUGAAUGGAUGUCAAACUCAAUUUUAUAUUCAUAUUUUUCUUAAUCUUCUAAUGAUAAUUCGAAUCAUGAAAUAUUAGAAACUCUUUCUAAUUUUCAUUCUGCUUUGAUCAAAGGCUUCUUGAAUUAUCAUAUUAUUAGAAUAAAUGGGAUGUGAUCUUCUCUUACUAGAAGUGAUUGAUUCCUUGUUGAUCUACUCAUAAUCUUCGUAUACAAUCCACCAUAUCCAGAAGACCUCGUACACAACUUAUUGUCAUGAAUG